GAGGUUCAAAGGCAGUGAGUUAUCUCAAUCAGUUGUUCACAGUCAGCUACAGAGCGAACUCCUAGUUCUAUUCUUUCCCCUCUCCAAAAUUCUUCACUUAACUAGUCUUAA
rnacentral:Y_RNA from 1 species